GUUGAGGUCUAUCCCGAUGGGACAUUUUCUGCAGACCUACAUUAUUGGAAAUGCUUCAUAGAGCAACUGUGUGGUUUCCUUUACUGAGAGACCUAUGUGUCAGAUCUGUGGGAAAGAACUUCAAGAGAGGA
ensembl:snoRNA